rnacentral:rRNA from 1 species
AUGUUGCUCUUUGAUGAAGCGCUUCUGACUGGCAGUGUAGUUUUUGCGUAUUUGGCUGGGGUUGCACCCUAUCGACCUACAAUACCCUGCACCCGAAAUCCUAGCGCCAAUCAACAUCUUACAGCACCAAUCUCCUUUGAUUCUGGUAGGAAUGGAAAACGUUUGCUUGACAAGAGUACAUCGUUUGACCCCAAUGAUACAAGGAAUGAAGUGAUGGCUAAACUUUCUGAAGCCUUAGAAGCAAAUGGUCAAGAUGCUAGUUCUGAUAGCAGAGAUGAAACUAAAAAUGAUAGGAAAAACUAUCCUUUGAGUAUGCUUGCAAUUCAUGGAUGUCCCAGGUUGCGGCUUCUUCUAAUCACGUUUCAACUUCUUGAAAUGGAGGCAAGAAAUGUCUCUGGAAGUUUUGAACUUCUAGAUGGGAUCAGGUGGUUGGAAGUGUCAAUUAUGUUGAUAGAUAGCUUGAUUGAACCAGCAUUUAUGAAAUGGAUCGAAGAAGAGCAAGCCCUGGAAAAUGGCAGGAUCGAUGAGAAGCUUAUGAUGGUGAUUAGUAGAAAAAUAAAGGAAGACAAUUGGAUCUUGAAGAGAUUCCACAGAUUAGGGAAAGUUGAGCUCUAUUUGGACCUACUCUUUUUCAUAAGAUUUGGUUCUGCAAGGUCUGAUAGCUAUUUUGAUACUAAAUUUCUGGCUGAAAAUGGAGCAAGGAUUUUGGAGGACCUGGUAAUUUUCUUGGCUGAUGUGAUUGCUAGUAUUUAUCUAGAGAUCAUGUCAGUUGAUGGUGACAUGCCUACUAAGGUUGUUGGCUCCAGUUUAGCUCUAUGUUCUCUAUCGAUAAGAGAACUUCAAAAGCAGCGUAAUGAGGUGGCAAUUAACGGGUGGUUGCACCAAUAUUUGAAGUUAGUUGUUUCAAUGUACGAGGACAGGUUUGAGUUACAUGUUCUAUGCAAAAGAUCAUGCAAUAACACAUCAUAUAAUCGACCUAAUAAAACUAAUUGCUUGACUAUUGCAUUUCGAAAUCCUUCCACAUCUACUCACCUGGAUUAUGUUUGCAUAAGCCCAUUUUCUCUUCCUGAUCUAGUGUCGAACGGACGGCACCUCCGAGUUUAG